rnacentral:rRNA from 1 species
UUGACAUCCAGAGAACUUGGCAGAGAUGCCUCGGUGCCUUCGGGAACUCUGAGACAGGUGCUGCAUGGCUGUCGUCAGCUCGUGUUGUGAAAUGUUGGGUUAAGUCCGCAACGAGCGCAACCCCUAUCCUUUGUUGCCAGCGAUUCGGUCGGGAACUCAAAGGAGACUGCCGGUGAUAAACCGGAGGAAGGUGGGGAUGACGUCAAGUCAUCAUGGCCCUUACGAGUAGGGCUACACACGUGCUACAAUGGCGUAUACAAAGAGAAGCGACCUCGCGAGAGCAAGCGGACCUCAUAAAGUACGUCGUAGUCCGGAUUGGAGUCUGCAACUCGACUCCAUGAAGUCGGAAUCGCUAGUAAUCGUAGAUCAGAAUGCUACGGUGAAUACGUUCCCGGGCCUUGUACACACCGCCCGUCACACCAUGGGAGUGGGUUGCAAAAGAAGUAGAUAGCUUAACCUUCGGGAGGGCGUUUACCACUUUGUGAUUCAUGACUGGGGUGAAGUCGUAACAAGGUAGGCGUAGCGAG